CCGCUUGUGGGGAUUACUUAGUGAAGUUUUCUAGUUUCUCCCAAAUCAAAGACGAGAAAUACGAUCUCCUUCCAAAAGGAGCUCGAAAAAAGAGCCCAACCCAUGUGACACAAAGGCGCAGUACGGUAGGGGGAAGAAUCGAGAAAAAUUACCAAACUUAGAAAUCCUCGCCCCAUCAACCACCGAUACGCCAAACAAGACUGAUAAUAUUACCAACAUGCUCUCCUCCAU
rnacentral:lncRNA from 1 species